rnacentral:rRNA from 1 species
AUGGGGGCGCGUGCUAUAAUGACAAACUAUGCUAAGGCAACAAGUAAAACAAGGGGAUGGAGUAGACCUCCUAUGGGUUUUGUGAAACUACAUGUUGAUGCUUCCUUUGAUCACGAUCUGCUUAGGGGCACGGCAGGGGCUGUCCUCAGAGAUGACAAAGGAAGGUUCAUUGUUGGCGGAAAUUGGAGGAUUGAUUGGUGUGCCGAUGUAUUAACAGCAGAAGAACUAGCUCUAUGGUUUGGCUUAAUCCUUACACAGAAGGCGGGUUGCAAUCGCCUUAUUGUCAACUCUGAUAAUAUGGAAGUGAUUGACACAUGGAAAAUGGAGGACAAUCGGCGGAAGCGGCAGAGGCAGUGUUCGACGAUUGCUAUUUUAUAG